rnacentral:lncRNA from 1 species
GUCCUUGGCAUUGAUUUAUUGACCCAAAGGGGAGGUUCUUUGAAGGAGAAUUGCAAACAUAAAUAACAGAUUCUAUAUUUACCCAGCGAAUUUAGAAAAUUUAUAUAAAGAUAUGGAGGUCAAGGUACCUGGUUCUUAGGAAGGAAUUCAUAAAGGAUACAGUUUAAAAACAAAGCUAAAAGAUGAUUAUUAAAAAAUUAAUGUGGAGUCAUCAUAUUCCUUAAUGAGAAAAAACUAAAAUUCUUCAUAUCAUAAAAUUUUACUAUGACUUAAACAGGGAGAAUGACUCAAGACAAUCCCACGAAUAUUUAAAACCAACAUAAUGCUUUUUGAUGCAUUUCUAUAUACCAGAACCAUCAUUUUUAUAUAUACUUAAAAAAACACAUUAAAAUGGUUAGAGCACAGAGGCAACUGUAAGGCAUAUCAAUGUGAUUUUAUUCACAACACAAAUUCCAUUUGUGAGAAAGAAGCAUAGAUUACUCCUCUUUAGAAAGAUAUUUACUAUCAAGCAUACUUAGCAAAUUAUUUAGCUAUCUAAAAAGAUCUGAUACCAAUUGCCAUAAGGGACCCAGUUACAUAGUAUUAAAUAAUAUCUGAAACUAUUUUGAAAGACAACCAGACAAAAUACUUUUUCCAAAGUGAAAACCACAGCCUAUAGAUUUGGAAAAUUUUACAGAAAAGAAUAGCUCAUGCCUGUCCUAUGAGGCAACACCAUUUGUAUACAAGUGCCAAGAAGUAAGGAGAAAGUUAGGAUUUUAGCUGAGGAAUCUACUAAAGCCUGGCAUGUGGCAUUUUCUUCAUUAGUGCCACUGAAAGCAGUCUCUGUGUUGCACCUGAAUACACUUUAUAAUAGAAUAAACAUAGUAAGUUUCAGAGCAGGUUGUAGAUACCUUGCCUUAAUAGAUUACACUUAAUGUAGUACAAUACAGCACGUCAAAUUUUAAAAAUGCAAAAAUACAC